GACGAACGCUGGCGGCGUGCUUAACACAUGCAAGUCGAACGGAAAGGCCCUGCUUUUGUGGGGUGCUCGAGUGGCGAACGGGUGAGUAACACGUGAGUAACCUGCCCUUGACUUUGGGAUAACUUCAGGAAACUGGGGCUAAUACCGGAUAGGAGCUCCUGCUGCAUGGUGGGGGUUGGAAAGUUUCGGCGGUUGGGGAUGGACUCGCGGCUUAUCAGCUUGUUGGUGGGGUAGUGGCUUACCAAGGCUUUGACGGGUAGCCGGCCUGAGAGGGUGACCGGCCACAUUGGGACUGAGAUACGGCCCAGACUCCUACGGGAGGCAGCAGUGGGGAAUAUUGCAAAAUGGGCGGAAGCCUGAUGCAGCAACGCCGCGUGCGGGAUGACGGCCUUCGGGUUGUAAACCGCUUUCGCCUGUGACGAAGCGUGAGUGACGGUAAUGGGUAAAGAAGAACCGGCUAACUACGUG
rnacentral:rRNA from 1 species